rnacentral:tRNA from 2 species
AUUUAUAUAGUUUAAAUAAAACAUUAUAUUUUCAUUAUAAAAAUAAUAUAAAAUUUAAUUAUUAUUUAUAAAUA